rnacentral:rRNA from 1 species
AUUGAACGCUGGCGGCAGGCCUAACACAUGCAAGUCGAGCGGAGCGGCGGACGGGUGAGUAAUUCCUAGGAAUCUGCCUGGUAGUGGGGGAUAACGUCCGGAAACGGGCGCUAAUACCGCAUCCUAUCAGAUGAGCCUAGGUCGGAUUAGCUAGUUGGUGGGGUAAAGGCCUACCAAGGCGACGAUCCGUAACUGGUCUGAGAGGAUGAUCAGUCACACGGGAACUGAGACACGGUCCGGACUCCUACGGGAGGAAGCAGUGGGGAAUAUUGGAAAAUGGGGGAAAGCCUGAGGCGGCCAUGCCGCGUGUGGGAAGAGGGUCUUCGGAUUGUAAAGCACGUUAAGUUGGGAGGCGGUACCAACAGAAUAAGCACCGGCUAACUUCGUGCCAGCAGCCGCGGUAAUAC